CACUAUCCUUUGACUAUGCACAUUCCAUUGGCAACAAACCAAAAUUAAAAUUGAAUCCAUAUUCAUGGACAAAGGUAGGUGUUUGUGUUUAUGUCUUUGUACGUAUGUGAUCUUUAGCAACUAUUCAGGUUCUUAUAACAUUGAGAAGAACAAUAUCCCAAACUUUCAGGUUGCCAACAUAAUAUUUUUAGACGCACCGGUGGGCACAGGAUUCUCAUAUGCAAAAAAUUGGGAAGGAUAUAGCAAUCUCAAUGACACCUUGUCAGCUGCACAGACAUGAAUUUCUUAGAAAGGUGAGAGGUUUAAUUCUAGUGAUUAAGAAUUCCUUCGAAAAUCGACAUGAUUGGCAAUAUAACACACUUUUCUUCCAUAUCUAGCUAGCUACGUUGUUGUUUUCACUGUUGUGGUGCAGUGGCUUAUGGAUCAUCCCAAGUUCUACAAUAAUCCACUUUAUAUUGCUGGA
rnacentral:lncRNA from 1 species